rnacentral:rRNA from 1 species
UACGGAGGGUGCAAGCGUUGUCCGGAUUUAUUGGGUUUAAAGGGUGCGUAGGCGGCUCCAUAAGUCAGCGUUGAAAUACGGCAGCUUAACUGUCGGACUGGCAUUGAUACUGUGGAGCUUGAGUAAAGUUGAGGUAGGCGGAAUUGAUGGUGUAGCGGUGAAAUGCUUAGAUAUCAUCAAGAACAUCGAUUGCGAAGGCAGCUUACUAAGUUUUAACUGACGCUGAGGCACGAAAGCGUGGGGAGCGAACAGG